rnacentral:rRNA from 1 species
CACGUGGACAAUCUAACCUAUGGAAGGGGAUAACCCCGGGAAACUGGGGAUAAUACCCUAUAGACUAUGGAUGCUGGAAUGCUUCGUAGUUGAAAGGUCCGCCGCCAUAGGAUGGGUCUGCGGCCGAUUAGGUUGUUGUUGGGGUAACGGCCCAACAAGCCUGUAAUCGGUACGGGUUGUGGGAGCAAGAGCCCGGAGAUGGAUUCUGAGACACGAAUCCAGGCCCUACGGGGCGCAGCAGGCGCGAAAACUUUACAAUGCGGGAAACCGUGAUAGGGGAACUCCGAGUGCCCGUAAAAUCGGGCUGUCCACCAGUUUAAACAACUGGUGAAGAAAGGGCCGGGCAAGACCGGUGCCAGCCGCCGCGGUAAUACCGGCGGCUCGAGUGGUGGCCACUAUUACUGGGCUUAAAGCGUUCGUAGCUGGUUUGUUAAGUCUCUGGGGAAAUCUUCCGGCUUAACCGGAAGGCGUCUCAGGGAUACUGGCAGACUAGGGACCGGGAGAGGUGAGGGGUACUCCAGGGGUAGGAGUGAAAUCCUGUAAUCCUUGG